GUCUUUGAACGCAAGUUGCGCCCGAAGCCUUGGCUGAGGGCACGCCUGCCUGGGUGUCACACGUCGCUCUGCCUCCAAAACCUUUCCCCCGCUAACACCGUGGUGAUGGUUCGGAUGCGGAAGAUGGCCUCCCGUGACCACGAGCCACGGAUGGCCCAAGUUCUUGCUGGGGAAGCGAAGCACCACGGCUUUCGGUGGUCGGUAUAGCCCCUAGGGCAACGAAGCCCGUGGCAACGGUCCCCGGCGUACGACCCCAAUCGCUAACCAAUGCGACCUCAGGUCAGGCGGGGCUACCCGCUGAGUUUAAGCAUAUCAAUAAGCGGAGG
rnacentral:rRNA from 1 species